CUUGAACGCUGGCGGAAUGCUUUACACAUGCAAGUCGAACGGUAGAGGGGGCAACCCCUCGAGAGUGGCGAACGGGUGAGUAAUAUAUCGGAACGUGCCCAGUCGUGGGGGAUAACGUAGCGAAAGUUACGCUAAUACCGCAUACGAUCUAAGGAUGAAAGCGGGGGAUCGCAAGACCUCGCGCGAUUGGAGCGGCCGAUAUCAGAUUAGGUAGUUGGUGGGGUGAAGGCUCACCAAGCCAACGAUCUGUAGCUGGUCUGAGAGGACGACCAGCCACACUGGAACUGAGACACGGUCCAGACUCCUACGGGAGGCAGCAGUGGGGAAUUUUGGACAAUGGACGCAAGUCUGAUCCAGCCAUUCCGCGUGCAGGAUGAAGGCCCUCGGGUUGUAAACUGCUUUUGUACGGAACGAAAAGGUCUCUCUUAAUACGGGGGACUCAUGACGGUACCGUAAGAAUAAGCACCGGCUAACUACGUGCCAGCCGCCGCCGUAACAC
rnacentral:rRNA from 1 species